UCUCGUUUUCCGGUUUGAAGGUUCUCAGCCAAAGCUCAGUGGGUAAUUUUAAGAGCCUGGGGCACAAUUGUGGAUCUGAGCUAUUACAGUUUCUACCCUGUAUUCUUGGAGUAUCCAUGCAGAUUGUUUGUACCUAACCUUGAUGUUGGGCUUCCAGACCCUGCUGGUGUCCCUCAGUGUAUGCUACUGCAACUAAAGGUGGUGGCAGCAAUAGCCGAGGAACAGUGCUACCUACCCCCCGAACCUGUCAUCAAUAUGUCAACCAUAUGAGGAAGAAGAGGAAGGAUGAGGCUUAAGACUAAAAGGGGAAAACCCUUAAAAAAGGCUGUAUCAUCCACCUCAGGCCAGGAUUCUUCACAGAAGGACUAUGGAAGUCAGAAGCCCUAAGUAUCUAAAUCCAAGCUCAGAUGAUGGAAAAUUAGUCCUCUUUCUUCUGUAUUCUCCUUCUGUCUCCUUUUAUUCUUUGUCCCUAUUUGUCCCUCUCAAUUAAUUUAGUGUAACUUUACAUAUAUGCACAUUAAAAGCUUUCUUCAAAACAAA